UUUCUUCUCUAUUACACUAUAUCGUUUUAUCCUGGUAGUUUACCAUCUUGGUCAUUUCAUAUAUGCCGUUAUUCGUGAGCAUUUAUCUUGAUGUGGAUUGAGGGUUCGGGCUAGAAUUUAAUUUGAUGGCUUCUGACCUGUAACUUCUCCUGUUAUGUUUAACUUUGAAAUGAUUUCAAACAAUUUGGCUUGUGAGCUAUAAAUUAAUCGACUUUUUCGUUCUGGGUCUGAUUACUGAGCCGGGAGGGAAAAUAAAGAAAGAAUCUCAGCACCGAUUAAGCUCAUUUUUACUACUGCUUCCGUUGGUACAGCCAGAGAGGAACUCAAACAUUGUCUCCCGAUCUAUUAUUUCAAGAUGGAAUUGAACUGCUAGGACAAUUUGAAUGAUUACGUUCAUCAUUCAAAUGGUAAAAUUUCAUUGCAAAAUGCAGAGCCUAAUUCUAGAAUGCUCUACUUAAUAUUUUCCAAUAAAUGUUGUAUUUGAAAUUUAGAUUUGAUUAAAAAUAAGGAGUCACCACCACCCUCUUGUUAGAGUUUAAAUGUGAGGUGUGAGAAAGUGGUAAAAAAUUGUGGAAUAAAACUGUUGUGUGGAUAAAUGGUGCAUAAGAUAUUGUGAGGUGCUUGCUUUAGCAGUAUUAUGCUGCAAAUUUAUUGUAUUUGAUAACUUGUAUCAUUGAAUCAGUAUGUUCAAGCUAAUGCUCAUUACGAGCGAAUGUUCACUUCUCUCAUUUAAUGUGGAAUUAGGGUUUAAAAAUAGAAUGAAAUAUCUUUAGUUUUUCUAAGUGGUGUGCACACAUAUGGCACACAGCUUGUUAUUACUGGAUUCAACUAUUUGUUUUUGUGCAACUGGUGCUGAAAUUUGCGUAUUUUGUUAUGUAUAAAGGUACAGGUGAUUUGGGCGAGCGACCCAGUUUCACAACGGAGGGGAGGAG
rnacentral:misc_RNA from 1 species